rnacentral:rRNA from 1 species
UACGUAGGGACCGAGCGUUGUCCGGAUUCAUUGGGCGUAAAGGAGCUCGUAGGCGGCUGUUCAAGUCGAACGUGAAAACUCGGAGCUCAACUCCGAGCCUGCGUUCGAGACUGGAUGGCUAGAGUCUGGUAGGGGGAUCUGGAAUUCCUGGUGUAGCGGUGGAAUGCGCAGAUAUCAGGAGGAACACCGGUGGCGAAGGCGGGAUCCUGGGCCAGUACUGACGCUGAGGAGCGAAAGCGUGGGGAGCAAACAGG